ensembl:antisense Gm17088 predicted gene 17088
AAAAAAGACACAGAGCCCAACGCAAACCCGAACGCGAGGCUGCUCGACACACUGGGAGCCAAGAAGUCCGCUCAGCGGCUCAGUGACACACUUCUACUUCACACGGAAGGUACACGAAGCUUGACGUAUCAAGUCUUUCCAGAAAGGGACAUAUGUACUUCGAGAAGAUAAGUUGAUAAACAUCUGUUUACUGACCCAAGAACAACUCUGCAAGACUAACCAGAAGGCCUCAUGUUCACUUUGAACAGACUGAUGAAGCAGAGGAGGACACCUGGUGCAGACUCUGAGGCGAGUCAAGCGCUGCAUCUACAUUUCAGCAAACAAUUUGAGUCUGUCUUGACAGUUUCUCGGCGGUUAAACUGAAAUUCAGAAUCCCCGUGCUCAUGUGUCAUUUACAGCAUAUGAGAUCUAUACGUGGCAUAAACCAUAUAAACAGGAUAUGGGUCUCAAUUAUGAAGGCCGCGUUCUAUGCCUACCCGGAAGGCAAUCUCUACCAGCGGGCCACCAGAUGCAUGCAUGCACUAAUCCUGUCUUACUGUCUUUCCUUCAACAAAAUUAACAUUAAAGUACAAAAAGGCAUA